AUCCCUUUGUGGUUCAUAAGCAUGAUGACUGAGUUUUUGCACUCCUGCAUGAGAUGUAUCUCCCUCAAACCUUAUGACGUGCACAUUACCUGACUCACA
ensembl:snoRNA